rnacentral:snRNA from 1 species
AGCUUUGUGCACUGGCAGUAUUGUAGCCAAAGAGGUGUAUCCAAGGUGCGAUUAUUGCUAAUUGAAAACUUUUCAGUGCAGU